UACGGAGGGUGCGAGCGUUAAUCGGAAUUACUGGGCGUAAAGCGCACGUAGGUGGUUCGUUAAGUCGGAUGUGAAAUCCCUGGGCUCAACCUGGGAGCUGCAUUCGAUACUGGCGGACUCGAGUACGAGAGAGGGGGGUGGAAUUCCAGGUGUAGCGGUGAAAUGCGUAGAUAUCUGGAGGAACACCAAUGGCGAAGGCAGCCCCUGGGUCGAUACUGACGCUCAUGCACGAAAGCGUGGGUAGCAAACGAGUAUAACG
rnacentral:rRNA from 1 species